GGCGAACGCUGGCGGCGUGCUUAACACAUGCAAGUCGAACGGAAAGGCCCUGCUUUUGUGGGGUGCUCGAGUGGCGAACGGGUGAGUAACACGUGAGUAACCUGCCCUUGACUUUGGGAUAACUUCAGGAAACUGGGGCUAAUACCGGAUAGGAGCUCCUGCUGCAUGGUGGGGGUUGGAAAGUUUCGGCGGUUGGGGAUGGACUCGCGGCUUAUCAGCUUGUUGGUGGGGUAGUGGCUUACCAAGGCUUUGCCGGGUAGCCGGCCUGAGAGGGUGACCGGCCACAUUGGGACUGAGAUACGGCCCAGACUCCUACGGGAGGCAGCAGUGGGGAAUAUUGCACAAUGGGCGGAAGCCUGAUGCAGCAACGCCGCGUGCGGGAUGACGGCCUUCGGGUUGUAAACCGCUUUCGCCUGUGACGAAGCGUGAGUGACGGUAAUGGGUAAAGAAGCACCGGCUAACUACGUG
rnacentral:rRNA from 1 species